GACAGAGGGUGCAAACGUUGUUCGGAAUUACUGGGCGUAAAGCGCGUGUAGGCGGUCCGGAAAGUCGGAUGUGAAAGCCCUGGGCUUAACCUAGGAAGUGCAUUCGAAACUGCUGGGCUUGAGUUCUGGAGAGGAAGGCGGAAUUCUCGGUGUAGAGGUGAAAUUCGUAGAUAUCGAGAGGAACACCGGUGGCGAAGGCGGCCUUCUGGACAGUGACUGACGCUGAGACGCGAAAGCGUGGGGAGCAAACAGG
rnacentral:rRNA from 1 species